GCGGGACUAGCUCAGUUGGUAGAGCACUAGCUUCCCAAGCUGGGGGUCGCGGGUUCGAAUCCCGUGUCCCGCU
rnacentral:tRNA from 1 species